CGACCCUUUUUAAGCCGAGGGUCACCUAGCCAACUGACGUUGUUAGUGAACCUCUAUUGUUCACACUUGUAUAUAGCCAGUCACACUUUUUAGUGGCUGGCUUUUUUUCU
rnacentral:sRNA from 1 species